rnacentral:lncRNA from 1 species
GCCUGAUCGCAACCAGGUAUCUUCUUCACAGAAAGAACUCGUUUUCUGCUGUCAGAUGCCCUUUAGGUUCUCUUUUUAACCUAUAUCCAGUUUAUUCCUACUAAGAUAGUCACUCCCCAGCAGAGUCCUGACCAGGAGGAGAAUCAGGUGUGACACAGAGAAGGCAACUCAACAAAAUACACAAGAUAACAGAAGCCCUGUAUUACUUACAAAUCCCAGAGAGAAGAAGGCAGCAUGUCUCACAGGGAAAACAGGAAGUAGGGACACACAGGUUCAACCAAAAGGUGGGGAAGAAGAAAGAAUUCCAAAGCUUUUGUUGACAUCUAAGGUGUUACCCAAGCAAGUUUUCCAUGUGGACUUCUAAUUGGUGGGUUUUGAACAAUGGGAACACUUGGACACAAAGACGGGAGCAUCACACAUUGGGGUCCAUUGGGAGGGCUAUGGGAGUGAUAGUGGGAGGAAGGGUGGGGGAGGGAUAAUGUGGGGAGUAAUGUCAGGUAUAGGUAAUGAGGGGAUGGUGGCAACAAACCACCUUGCCAUGAAUGUACCUUUGCAACAAUCUUGCAUGAUCUGCACAUGUACCCCAGAAUCUAAAGUACAAUAAAAAAAAUUCAGAUUUUGAAAACAGAAUGAGACUUUUCUGGGGUAACCAGGUAUCUGGAUUUUUAAUACCUCUUGUGAAUACUAAACAUAAUAAAUUUUGAAAAGUGUACUGAAAAUGAGAUUCAACUUCUAUAAAUGAAGAACCCAUAAACCAGAAACAGAAGCCCUGUGGGCAUAACACCAAGGAGGUAGCAUAUAAAAGAAAGCAAUCUUAUUCUUUGUAGCAUAGGCAGAAUAUUUUAAAAUGAGCAAUAGCUUCAACUUUUUUCCUUCUUAUAAAAGCAAUUCAUUUUCACUAUAGAAAAAUUAGAAAACAUAAAAAAGCAAAAAAAUAAAAACCCAUACAAUGUCGAUAUGAAGAAAACUAUUGUUGAAACCUUGAUUGAUUUUAUUUUAAAACCUUUUACUUUGAGAAUGCUGAUAAAUUACAUCACAUAUUGAAUUCUAAUUUUGAAGAUUGUGGUUUUUUUUUUUCUUUUGAGUACAAGUUCAGUAGAGCUACACAAAGAAUAAAGUGUUGCAUGAAGUAUGAGGGCUAUUAUCAUGCUGGUUGUAUAUUACAAUGGUUAAGAACUAGACUUACAGAGUUAAACAUGAACGAAUUCAAAUUCUGACUCUAUUACUUCUUUGUUUUGUGACUAGAAAGUUACUUAACCCCUUGUAUCUCAGUUCUUAUCUGUGAGAAGACAUUAACAAUAGUAUCUAUCUGAUAUUGUUGUUGCAAGCGUUAACCA